AGUGAACGCUGGCGGUAGGCCUAACACAUGCAAGUCGAACGGCAGCACAGUAAGAGCUUGCUCUUACGGGUGGCGAGUGGCGGACGGGUGAGGAAUACAUCGGAAUCUACUUUUUCGUGGGGGAUAACGUAGGGAAACUUACGCUAAUACCGCAUACGACCUACGGGUGAAAGCAGGGGAUCUUCGGACCUUGCGCGAUUGAAUGAGCCGAUGUCGGAUUAGCUAGUUGGCGGGGUAAAGGCCCACCAAGGCGACGAUCCGUAGCUGGUCUGAGAGGAUGAUCAGCCACACUGGAACUGAGACACGGUCCAGACUCCUACGGGAGGCAGCAGUGGGGAAUAUUGGACAAUGGGCGCAAGCCUGAUCCAGCCAUACCGCGUGGGUGAAGAAGGCCUUCGGGUUGUAAAGCCCUUUUGUUGGGAAAGAAAAGCAGCAGGUUAAUACCCCGCUGUUCGGACGGUACCCAAAGAAUAAGCACCGGCUAACUGCGC
rnacentral:rRNA from 1 species